rnacentral:tRNA from 1 species
GGAUAUAGUUUAAUGGUAGAACAUCGGACUCUGACUCCGCUAGUGUUGGUUCGAAUCCAGCUAUCC